UACGUAGGGUCCAAGCGUUGUCCGGAUUUAUUGGGCGUAAAGAGCUCGUAGGCGGUUCCGUAAGUCGGAUGUGAAAACUCGGGGCUCAACCCCGAGACGCCAUCCGAUACUGCGGUGACUUGAGUCUGGUAGGGGAACACGGAAUUCCUGGUGUAGCGGUGAAAUGCGCAGAUAUCAGGAGGAACACCGGUGGCGAAGGCGGGUCUCUGGGCCGAUAUUGACGCUGAGGAGCGAAAGCGUGGGGAGCAAACAGG
rnacentral:rRNA from 1 species